CAUCUGCGUGGCAAAAAUGCCCCGAACCACGGUUUCUCCUUCCACUCCACAGCCUUCACGGAGGUAGAGCUUCUUUCCAUGACAAAAAAAAUCAAGGUGGAGGGACUCCGUGUUUUAGAAUGUGGAGACGCGGAGCUGCUACAGGAGAACGGGACCAGGAUCGUAGUAGAUCGAGCCAUUUGGUUGAAGUAUGGACAUCUCACCCAUUGAUCUGAU